AGUGAACGCUGGCGGUAGGCCUAACACAUGCAAGUCGAACGGCAGCACAGUAAGAGCUUGCUCUUACGGGUGGCGAGUGGCGGACGGGUGAGGAAUACAUCGGAAUCUACUUUUUCGUGGGGGAUAACGUAGGGAAACUUACGCUAAUACCGCAUACGACCUACGGGCGAAAGCAGGGGAUCUUCGGACCUUGCGCGAUUGAAUGAGCCGAUGUCGGAUUAGCUAGUUGGCGGGGUAAAGGCCCACCAAGGCGACGAUCCGCAGCUGGUCUGAGAGGAUGAUCAGCCACACUGGAACUGAGACACGGUCCAGACUCCUACGGGAGGCAGCAGUGGGGAAUAUUGGACAAUGGGCGCAAGCCUGAUCCAGCCAUACCGCGUGGGUGAAGAAGGCCUUCGGGUUGUAAAGCCCUUUUGUUGGGAAAGAAAAGCAGCAGGUUAAUACCCCGCUGUUCUGACGGUACCCAAAGAAUAAGCACCGGCUAACUUCGUG
rnacentral:rRNA from 1 species